UUCCGGUUGAUCCCGCCAGAGGCCACUGCUAUCGGAGUACGACUUAGCCAUGCGAGUCACAGGGGCGCAAGCCACUGGCAGACGGCUCAGUAACACGUAGGUAACCUACCCUUCGGACGGGCACAACCCCGGGAAACUGGGGCUAAUUCCCGAUAGGUACCCCCUUCUGGAAUGUGGGGAUAUCCAAAGCUCCGGCGCCGAAGGAUGGGCCUGCGGCCGAUUAGGUUGUUGGCGGGGUAACAGCCCACCAAGCCGACGAUCGGUACGGGCAGUGAGAGCUGUAGCCCGGAGAUGGGGACUGAGACAAGGCCCCAGGCCCUACGGGGCGCAGCAGGCGCGAAACCUUCACAAUGCACGAAAGUGUGAUGAGGGUACUCCGAGUGCGCAUACAUUGUAUGUGCUUUUCUGCAGCGUAAAUAGUUGCAGGAAUAAGGGCUGGGCAAGACCGGUGCCAGCCGCCGCGGUAACACCGGCAGCCCUAGUGGUGGCCGCUUUUAUUGGGCCUAAAGCGUCCGUAGCCGGACAGGCGAGUCUUUGGGUAAAUCCUACGUCUUAAGCGUGGGAAUUCUAAAGAUACUACCUGUCUUGAGGCCGGGAGAGGCUGGAGGUACUCCUGGGGUAGGGGUAAAAUCCUAUAAUCCUGGGGGGACCACCGAUGGCGAAGGCAUCCAGCUGGAACGGGCCUGACGGUGAGGGACGAAACCCAGGGGAGCGAGCCGGAUUAGAUACCCGGGUAGUCCUGGGCGUAAAUGAUGUGGGCUUGGUGUGAGCGCAUCGACGAGGUGCGCUUGUGCCGUAGGGAAGCCGUUAAGCCCACCGCCUGGGGAGUACGGUCGCAAGGCUGAAACUUAAAGGAAUUGGCGGGGGGGGCACAAUCGUCGAGCG
rnacentral:rRNA from 1 species